rnacentral:misc_RNA from 1 species
AAGUCGUAACAAGGUUUCCGUAGGUGAACCUGCGGAAGGAUCAUUAACACGUAUCCAACGUUAAACCCCCCGUGCACCUUCACAGAGUGUAGUGCCCCUUUACGACGACCAAGUUAAAUUAGGCCUCUACCACAUAGCAAGUGCGCCGUGGUAGAGGAAAACGUACAACUGUUAACAAUGGAUAUCUUGGUUCUC